GAUGAACGCUAGCUACAGGCUUAACACAUGCAAGUCGCGGGGCAGCAUGGGGGUUGCUUGCAAUCCCCGAUGGCGACGGGCGCACGGGUGAGUAACGCGUAUCCAACCUGCCCUUCACCACGGGAUAACCCGGCGAAAGUCGGACUAAUACCGUAUGUGGUCCAUUGACGGCAUCCGAUUUGGGCGAAAGGUUUGGCGGUGAGGGCUGGGGAUGCGUCCGAUUAGCUGGACGGCGGGGUGACGGCCCACCGUGGCGACGAUCGGUAGGGGUUCUGAGAGGAAGGUCCCCCACACUGGAACUGAGACACGGUCCAGACUCCUACGGGAGGCAGCAGUGAGGAAUAUUGGUCAAUGGGCGUAAGCCUGAACCAGCCAAGUAGCGUGCAGGAUGACGGCCCUAUGGGUUGUAAACUGCUUUUAUGCGGGGAUAAAGUGGCCCACGUGUGGGUUUUUGCAGGUACCGCAUGAAUAAGGACCGGCUAAUUCCGUG
rnacentral:rRNA from 1 species